rnacentral:rRNA from 1 species
CCUACGGGAUGCAGCAGUGGGGAAUAUUGCGCAAUGGGCGAAAGCCUGACGCAGCGACGCCGCGUGAGGGAUGAAAGUCUUCGGAUCGUAAACCUCUGUCAGCAGGGAAGAACGGUCACUGUGCUAAUCAGCAGUGAAUUGACGGUACCUGCAAAGGAAGCACCGGCUAACUCCGUGCCAGCAGCCGCGGUAAUACGGAGGGUGCGAGCGUUAAUCGGAAUUACUGGGAGUAAAGCGCUCGUAGGCGGUAGGUCAAGUCAAGGGUGAAAUCCCCGCGCUCAACGUGGGAACGGCCUUUGAAACUGGCAAACUGGCUGGUGUGAGAGGAUAGUGGAAGUCCAGGUGUAGGAGUGAAAUCCGGAGAUAUCUGGAGGAACAUCAGUGGCGAAGGCGACUAUCUGGCACAUAACUGACGCUGAGGAGCGAAAGCGUGGGUAGCAAACAGGAUUAGAUACCCUAGUAGUC